rnacentral:tRNA from 1 species
AGCUCAAUUGGUAGAGAGUGAGACUGUUGAUCUCAGGGUCAUGAGUUCAAGCCCCAU